rfam:Archaeoglobus profundus DSM 5631, complete genome.
GCUCCGGUGGUGUAGCCCGGUCAAUCAUACGGGCCUUUCGAGCCCGUGACCCGGGUUCAAAUCCCGGCCGGAGCA